rnacentral:rRNA from 1 species
UUGAACGCUGGCGGAAUGCUUUACACAUGCAAGUCGAACGGCAGCACGGGGGCAACCCUGGUGGCGAGUGGCGAACGGGUGAGUAAUACAUCGGAACGUACCUUAUAGUGGGGGAUAACACAUCGAAAGAUGUGCUAAUACCGCAUACGACCUGAGGGAGAAAGCGGGGGAUCGCAAGACCUCGCGCUACGAGAGCGGCCGAUGUCCGAUUAGCUAGUUGGUAGGGUAAAGGCCUACCAAGGCGACGAUCGGUAGCUGGUCUGAGAGGACGACCAGCCACACUGGAACUGAGACACGGUCCAGACUCCUACGGGAGGCAGCAGUGGGGAAUUUUGGACAAUGGGGGAAACCCUGAUCCAGCCAUUCCGCGUGAGUGAAGAAGGCCUUCGGGUUGUAAAGCUCUUUCGGCAGGAACGAAACGGUCUUGGAUAAUACCUGAGGCUAAUGACGGUACCUGAAGAAGAAGCACCGGCUAACUACGU